GUUAUGAUUUUGAAUUCAUUUUAUGAGGGCUUUGGCGAACAUUCAAAGAAUGUUUUUCAUUGGCCACAAAAAAUGGAAAUACAAUGGACCAUUUUGUUUAUAUCUUCCCAGUUCGACAGUUUCUCUGAUAUAUAUAUUUAUAUAUAUAUACAGGAUUUGAAACGGUCGAGAUUAUUCAUUCAUUCUGUAUCGAUUCGCAUUGCGCCAAAUUUCCGCCUCCUGGAUUGGUUCAUAAUGCGAAACGGUUAGAUUAAGCGAUAAUCUGGUUUUUCUUUUGCAGUUUUGUAGAUCUUCGUUCUUCAGCUUCGCAAAUCAAUUAGGUUUUCGUAACCCUUCUCUUAGUUUUUGAUUUCCGCGAGAACUUUUACGAAGGGAUUUGAGAGAAAAUCAUGGGGCAUUCGGCGCCGGUUUGGGAUUGCAGAGCCGCGAUUGAGAUUACGAAGGAUUGGAACGGCAUUGAUCAAGUUGUUCUUAGAAAUCCCAAAGGAGCUUCCGCUAGGAUUAGUUUACAUGGAGGACAAGUUUGUUCAUGGAGAAACGAUCAAGGGGAAGAACUUCUCUUCACAAGUAGUAAGGCAAUCUUUAAGCCAGCAAAAGCUAUGAGGGGAGGAAUUCCAAUAUGUUUCCCACAGUUUGGGAACUGUGGAACACCAGAGCAGCAUGGGUUUGUCAAGAACAAGAUCUGGACAAUCGAUGAAAAUCCACCGUUAUACAUGGCUGACCUCGACGGGGCGUCCUCCUUCGUCGAUUUACUAUAUAGAUCUUCAGAAGAGGAUUUGAAAUGUUGGCCCUAUAGUUUUGAGCUUCGGCUUCGGGUGUCUCUACGAUACGACGGAGACCUGAUUUUGAGGUCUAGAGUUAGGAAUAUCAAUGGAAAACCAUUUGCAUUCUCAUUUGCCUAUCAUACACACUUGGUGGUUUCGGACAUAAGCGAGGUGCGAAUCGAAGGCUUGGAAACGCUCGACUUCUUGGACAAUCUAUGUCACAAGGAGCGGUUUACAGAACAAGGAGAUGCCAUAACCUUUGAAUCUGAGGUCGAUCGAGUGUAUUUGAAUACUCCGAAUGCAAUUGCCAUACUUGAUCAUGAAAGGAAGCGGACUUACGUGAUCCGAAAGGAAGGAUUACCGGAUGUUGUUGUUUGGAAUCCGUGGGAGAAGAAGUCGAAAGCAAUGGUGGAUUUCGGGGACGAGGAAUAUAAACAGAUGGUGUGCGUUAACGGAGCGGCAUUGGAGAGACCGAUCAUGUUGAAGCCUGGUGAGGAAUGGAGAGGGAAGAUGAAACUCACUGUUGUUCCCUCGAGUUUCUCUCUCGACUUGUAGAGGAGAUGGAACCGAGACGGGGGACGAGACAGCACGGGCAGACUACUUUUUUAAUGUGGGUGAUGCUGUGCUGUGUUGAAAAAAUAAAGAUCCUUGUAGUAGAAAUUGAUGAAAUUAGGAAGGAUGUUGGGCUAUAUCGUUGCAAGCCACUCGUGAUGUUUUUUAAGGAGUGGCUUGGCUGCAUUUCCCCCACUU